GCAGUGAGGGUGCGCAGAUAGCUCACCUGCAACACGUGACUGCACACCUUACACUCUCACAGACUCUGAACACCUCCGCCAGCAGGCCUCUGAACACACACCUGAGGACCACUGGAUCUCUCCAACCGUCACACACAGGGAUGUUUUCGGUCAGAACCGCCAUAGGAAGUGAAUGGAUAGAUGCCGACCCUUUGAUCUGCAGCGGGGUGUGAGGCAGGGCGACCCACUCUCUCCUCUUCUCUUUGAUAUUUCUUUGGAGCCACUUGCAGUGGGUAUAAGGGGCCACCCAGGCAUUUGCGGGGUGAAGUUUGGUGAUGUUGAAAGCCUUGUCAAUCUGUAUGCUGAUGAUUUAUUGGUCUGCUUAUCAGACCCAAGGGUCUCAGUACCCAACCUCCUGAAUUACAUAGAAUCAUUUGGUAAACUGUCUGGGUAUACAAUUAACUGGGACAAAUGUGAAUUCAUGCCAUUGACAAAUAUCUGUCCUAUUUUUUUGAAAUCUUUGCCAUUUAAACUUGUUACUACCCAUAUUAAUUAUCUCAGCCUCAAGAUCUCCAAAAAUCCCAAACUUUUACUGAAAUUGAACUAUUUAGAUAUGAUGGAUAAACUAAAAGCUAAUAUUCGGAAAUGGAAGUUACUCCCUCUCUCUAUGAUUGGCCGCAUUAAUGCCAUUAAAAUGGUGGCACCAAGGUUUUCAAAACCUCCCUAUCGUUUUACCAUUAUUAUUUUUUAAGCAAUUGGAUUCAGCUAUCUUGUCAUUUGUCUGGGCAGAUAACCCCCCCCCCGCACUUCUAAGGCACAUCUGCAGAGGAAGGCAAAAAGGGGUGGCCUCGGCCUUCCUGUUUUUAGGCAUUAUUACUGGGCUGCGAAUGCGAGGGCUCUUAUGUUCUGGCAGCGGGGCCCUCCUUAUGAUGACUGUUCCUCUCCACGUUGGCUUAAGAUUGAAUCCAUGUCUUUGUCACAAACCUCGCUUCCAGCACUGCUUUUUCAAAUGUACAACUGUCCCACAAUUUAUCUGGCCACGAUUUUGUUGUUAGUAAUUCUUUAAAGAAACUGAAUCAAAUAAGAAAAAUUCUUGGAUGAUCAAAGAUUUGGGUGAAUGCCCCAAUAACUGGAAAUCAUUUGUUUAAACCAGGUUUGACGGAUGGGGUGUUUUUGGACUGGAGAGAGAGGGGCCUACGCUGUAUUUCAGAUUUGUACAUAGAUAACACCUUUGUGUCCUUCCCCCUGCUCCAGGCUAGAUAUCACCUCCCUCAGUCACAUUUUUAUCGAUUCUUACAGGUCAGACAUUUUGUAAGGCAGCAAGUCUCUGAUUUCCCAACAAGACCACACAAUUGUAAUUUUUAUGAUACACUCCUAUUACAACCACACUCCAAACAUUUGAUCUCCCGCUUCAUUACUGCUUUUGAGGCACCAGCAAGUACUAGUCAUCUCAGGGAUACAUGGGCAAAAGAACUAGGAGUCCCACUGUCGGAGGAAUUAUGGGAGGAGGGCCUGUCAAAUAGACAUAAAUGCUCUAUAAACUCUAGAUAUCGGUUAAUUCAAUUUAAAGUCACGCAGACUGCAUUAUUCCAAAACUAAACUUAAUAGAAUAUUUGAAUCAGUGUCUCCCAUGUGUGAUAGAUGUGGCAGGGCCGAAGUCACACUCACAUUUAUUCUGGCACUGCUCAGUACUGGAGAACUUUUGCCAUGAUAUAUUUAAUUGGUUCUCUCAGCAAUAUAAAAUAAACAUUGACCAGACUGUACCCUGGCAAUUUUCGGCUCCUCUGAGAAGACUUCGACCCUUCCUUCCCACUGUAGGCAGAUCCUUAAAACAGGCAUGGUAGCAGCUAAAAGAAUGAUUUUACUUGACUGGAAGUCUUCAUCACCCCCUUGCUUUAAGAGAUGGCUUAACGAAAUGGUCUUUGUUUCCAGAUUGGAACAAAUGCGUCUUAGCAGAGGGAAUGCACCAAACUACUAUGAACAAAUGUGGAAACCGUGCUUGACGAGACCUAAACAGUUAGUGUGUGAAGCCGGCUGCUCUGUAAUAUCUGUACUGAUCAAAGGUUUGGAUCCUCAGGGCUUUUUUUUGUUGUAUUAUUUUUAUUUUUGUUUCUUUUAAUUAUUAUUUCCUUUUAUUUCAUGUGUGUUUUUGUUGCUGUUUGUGUUGUCUUGUUUUUUUUAUUCUCUCCUGACGGUAUCGUGAGACAGAGCACACUGGACUAUUUCAGUUGUUGUAUACAUUUCU